rnacentral:rRNA from 1 species
UACGAAGGGGGGCUAGCGUUGUUCGGAUUUACUGGGCGUAAAGCGCACGUAGGCGGAUUGUUAAGUCAGGGGUGAAAUCCCGGAGCUCAACUCCGGAACUGCCUUUGAUACUGGCAAUCUAGAGUCCGGAAGAGGUGAGUGGAACUCCUAGUGUAGAGGUGGAAUUCGUAGAUAUUAGGAAGAACACCAGUGGCGAAGGCGGCUCACUGGUCCGGCACUGACGCUGAGGUGCGAAAGCGUGGGGAGCAAACAGG